rnacentral:rRNA from 1 species
UACAGAGGGUGCGAGCGUUGUCCGGAAUCACUGGGCGUAAAGGGCGCGUAGGUGGUGGCUUAAGCGUGCGGUGAAAGCUCGGGGCUCAACUCCGAGUCGGCCGUGCGAACUGGGCUCACUGGAGCAUAGUAGAGGCAGGUGGAAUUCCGGGUGUAGCGGUGGAAUGCGUAGAGAUCCGGAAGAACACCGGUGGCGAAGGCGGCCUGCUGGGCAGUUGCUGACACUGAGGCGCGACAGCGUGGGGAGCAAACAGG